CUGGAUGGUCCAGACGGCAUCAUGCUCCGAACUUGGUCAGGUCUUGGCGGAAGCAGCCAUAAGGAACCUCUGGUGAGCGUCUGGGCCACCCCUCUU
rnacentral:SRP_RNA from 1 species